GAUGAACGCUGGCGGCGUGCCUAAUACAUGCAAGUAGAACGCUGAAGGAAGGAGCUUGCUCUUUCCGGAUGAGUUGCGAACGGGUGAGUAACGCGUAGGUAACCUGCCUGUUAGCGGGGGAUAACUAUUGGAAACGAUAGCUAAUACCGCAUAACAGUAGAUGUUGCAUGAUAUCUACUUAAAAGGUGCAAUUGCACCACUACCAGAUGGACCUGCGUUGUAUUAGCUAGUUGGAGAGGUAACGGCUCACCAAGGCGACGAUACAUAGCCGACCUGAGAGGGUGAUCGGCCACACUGGGACUGAGACACGGCCCAGACUCCUACGGGAGGCAGCAGUAGGGAAUCUUCGGCAAUGGACGGAAGUCUGACCGAGCAACGCCGCGUGAGUGAAGAAGGGUUUCGGAUCGUAAAGCUCUGUUGUAAGAGAAGAACGAGUGUGAGAGUGGAAAGUUCACACUGUGACGGUAUCUUACCAGAAAGGGACGGCUAACUACGUG
rnacentral:rRNA from 1 species